UACAGAGGUCUCAAGCGUUGUUCGGAUUCAUUGGGCGUAAAGGGUGUGUAGGUGGCGCGCUAAGUCGGGUGUGAAAUUUCGGAGCUUAACUCCGAAACUGCAUUCGAUACUGGCGUGCUUGAGGACUGGAGAGGAGACUGGAAUUCAUGGUGUAGCAGUGAAAUGCGUAGAGAUCAUGAGGAAGACCAGUGGCGAAGGCGGGUCUCUGAACAGUUCCUGACACUGAGACACGAAGGCCAGGGGAGCAAACGGG
rnacentral:rRNA from 1 species